rnacentral:rRNA from 1 species
UACGUAGGCAGCGAGCGUUGUUCGGAAUUACUGGGCGUAAAGAGUGCGUAGGCGGUGCUCUAAGUCUGUUGUGAAAUCUCCCGGCUCAACUGGGAGGGUGCGGCGGAAACUAGAGUGCUAGAGUAUGGGAGAGGUAAGCGGAAUUCCUGGUGUAGCGGUGAAAUGCGUAGAUAUCAGGAGGAACACCUGUGGUGUAGGCAGCUUACUGGACCAUGACUGACGCUGAGGCACGAAAGCGUGGUAGCAACAAGAU